CAUACGCGGCCUCAACGACUGCAACAUCUGUGCACUCCCCUUCCUCCGUAACAAAUGAGGCGGAAGUUCAAUCGUAUACAGCAUGUAUUUGUUUCUACCCACCCCGCCAGUGAGCGCCGGCUGUAAGUGUUGCCGCGCGAUGCUGGAGAGUGUGAGCCGCAGAUGCUUUCGUAACGCUGUGGACGAAGCUGCAAGUGUCCAAUAAUAUUGUCCUGACCGUAACUAUGGCAACAAUGUUCUCAGCGUCCGUCUUCUUUGCUGUCGUAGCAGCAGUACAAGGAGCAACUUCUAUCGGAGGCUGCGGUGGCGGCGGCCAUUACUGCUGGGACCACCAUCGCUGCUGCCACAUAUCGCAGUCGGGAGCCCACCUUCCCACGAGCCUCCAUCCCACAACGACAUGCUGUUCCCAAAGCACUCACCGACAGUGUCCCCGCAUCCGCGGUUGCCAUAGUAACCUGGGCGUCAGCUCGCAUUCUGGCAUUUACAAUUCUCCUGGCGUUUACAGUCAGUCCGGAACGUACAAUUCGCCCGGCCUUUACGGUCAAUCUGGUAUUUACAAUCAGCGCAGCAUUCACAAUCAGCCUGGCGGGUACAGUCAAUCUAGCUACCGGUCCCAGCAGACGUACCACAAUCCGUCUACAUAUGACCGAGACCGCGAACAGCUAACGGUUACGCAGAGGCGAACAGUGUAUUAUUCGCGAGCCGCUGCUUUGCUGACGCCGCGCAUUGGCGUCUUCGUCUUGAGUUUUAUCUCAGUAUCGAUGCUCCAUAGCUGAAGUUGAUCGUAGUGGAUGAUUGUCAAGGACGUGGUGUUUGUAUUUAUUAAAUAUUCAUGAAUAUA
rnacentral:misc_RNA from 1 species